GUAAACACGGGCACCCGCGCGAGGAGGCCAGACUGAGGCGCGGCUUUGCUGUGCGGAGUCCGCCGGGCGCACCGGGCAGUCGUAGACACACCGGCUGGGGCGCCUCGUGGUUCGCUAGUCUCCGGGUGCGGUGGAGACCGGCUGGGGCGCCUCCCCGCCAGCCUGAGUUCACACCUCUGUGGGGGAGCCGGGCGGGAAGGUGGCCACGAGACAUGAAACAACACGGUCCCAGAGAGCCCUAGGAGCGGAACGGGGAAAUUUAGAGGAAUGGGCCAAAGCGUGGGGACAAGGGAGGCGGGAAGUCCCGGAGGGGCUCUCUAUGCAGAUGACUUUAGAGUCCUGGACGGUAAGAGGAAGGCGGCCCGGGAAGAUCGGCAGGAAGGGUGUUCCGGAAGGAACCUCCUGCCUGGAGGGGUUGCCUGGAGCCAAAGGGUGAGCAAGAAAAGGGCUUUGAGAGAGGAGAUGGAAGAUGUGGGUGAAGGGGUUGGGCUCUUCUGCCUCACUGUAAGGAGGUGAAAGUGAAAGCCACUCAGUCAUGUCUGACUCUUUGGGCGCCCAUGGACUUUAACGCCAGGCUCCUCUGUCCAUGGGGAUUAUCCAGUGUUGCCUGAGAAUGAUUGAUCCACUCCCAAGACUUGAUCCACAAAACACUGAACUGAGGCCCCAUGGGGACACAGAGCCAGAAUGCCAGCCCAGCUGUGUGUGACCUACAGCCCCGUGGUCUUCUGCUAUUACCUUGCUUCUCUACACAUCAUCUCUGGCCCCUGGGAAUUUACCUUGUGGACUCAGCAGAGGUUGAGAGAUCUUUAGAAGGAUGCUCUCUCUGCAGCACUGUUUAUAAUAGAAAGUGGAAAGCACCAAAGCCAGGUUAGAGAAUAGCUAAACAAAUCAUGGCCCACCUCACAGUAUUUAAAAAUGCUAAUUAUAAAGGUAAUGGAAACACAAGGAAAGGCCAAAGAUAAUACAGUAAUUUUAAAAAGCCGCAUGCAAAAUGGUCUGUACGCUAUGAUUACAGUUGUGUCAAAAUACAGUCGUGUAGGGACUGUGAUAGAAUGUAGAAAUGAAAAUUCUUGUGUUGGGGAAUUCUUGAAAAUUCUUUUCUUGUUGUGGUUUUUUUACCAUGUUCAAAAUUGUACUUUA